rnacentral:rRNA from 1 species
GGAAUCAACGCUGGCGGCGUGCCUAACACAUGCAAGUCGAACGAGAAAGGGUAGCAAUACCUGAGUACAGUGGCGCACGGGUGAGUAACACGUGACUAACCUACCCUGGAGUGGGGAAUAACUGAGGGAAACCUUAGCUAAUACCGCAUAAUACCUACGGGUCAAAGGAGCAAUUCGCUUCAGGAGGGGUCGCGGCCGAUUAGUUAGUUGGCGGGGUAAUGGCCCACCAAGACAGUGAUCGGUA